rnacentral:rRNA from 13 species
GCUUGAGAGAACUCGGGUAAAGGAACUAGGCAAAAUGGUGCCGUAACUUCGGGAGAAGGCACGCUGGUGGUAGGUGAGACCCCUUGCGGGUGGAGCUGACGCCAGUCGAAGAUACCAGGCCCCUGCGACUGUUUAUUAAAAACACAGCACUGUGCAAACACGAAAGUGGACGUAUACGGUGUGACGCCUGCCCGGUGCCGGAAGGUUAAUUGAUGGGGUUAGCGCUUGCGCGAAGCUCUUGAUCGAAGCCCCGGUAAACGGCGGCCGUAACAAU